UACGGAGGGGGCAAGCGUUGUUCGGAAUUACUGGGCGUAAAGGGCGCGUAGGCGGCCCUCCUUGUCGCGUGUGAAAGCCCCGGGCUCAACCUGGGAACGGCGCGCGAGACGGGGGGGCUGGAGUUCGGGAGAGGAGCGUGGAAUUCCCAGUGUAGAGGUGAAAUUCGUAGAUAUUGGGAAGAACACCGGUGGCGAAGGCGGCGCUCUGGACCGAGACUGACGCUGAGGCGCGAAAGCGUGGGGAGCAAACAGG
rnacentral:rRNA from 1 species